UAAGAGGAAGCAAUUCUCUCUGAAUCUGCGAACGGCUCCGCAAACCAGUUGUAAACCGAGGCAGGGUUCCCUUCCCGCGGUUCCGCUUCGGUGGGACUGCGGGUUAAUAUAUGGAUAACCGUGGUAAUUCUGAGGCUAAUACAUGACGUACAAAACCUCGCUCCGGGCUUGCCCGGGGCGGGGGGGCGUGCGACUUAAGGCUGGGGUAACAUCCAUGACAGAACGCACGCUCGGACCACCGUUAAGGGUGAAGGGCCUCGGCUCGGAUCCUGGUGGCCCCCGCAAUGUGCUUCUGACCUAUCAACUAGACGGCAGCAUAAGGGACAUGCUAUGGUGACAACGGGUACAGAGGAUUAGGGUUCGAUCCUGGAGAGUGGGCCUGAGAGAUUGCUCAUACUUCUAAGGAAGGCAGCAGGCGCGCAACGUUCCCCAUGGGCAUCGCUCGAGGGCGUUAUGGGAAAUAUGAAUGGCUGCCUUUACGGUGGCCAAUUCAAAUGGGUCUGUUGUAAAUAGGCUCUCGAGUAACAAUUAGAGGACAAGUCUGGUGCCAGCACCCGCGGUAAUUCCAGCUCUAAUAGCAUACGUUAAAGUUGUUGCGGUUAAAACGCUCGUAGUCGGCUCCAGCCCGCCUGAAGCCCGAGCCGGUGUCGUGGGUCUGUGCCCCUCACGGGGCGCGCCGCGGCGCUGGUAAGGGAAGACGGCGGGCAACUGCACCCAGUGGCGUACUCGGCUCCGGCUGAGGUUACAGGGGCCCCUCGGCAGCACCCUCGGGAUUCGUCCUAGGGAUACGCGGCCUUGGACCCGGCUCUGGCUCUGGGUGCCAAUUACCAUGACUAAACCGGCGUGAUCAAGGCAGACCGCUGCGGUUACUGUACGGCUCAGCAUGGCAUAAGGCAAGCCGAUCCGCCUCCCCCAGCGGGGCGGGUCUGGCGAGCCGCGAAAGGGGUGUUCGGGGGCAGCCGAAUUGCCGGGCGAGUGGUGAAAUACGUUGACCCUGGCAAGUCGUCCAAAAGCGAAAGCAGCUGUCAAGGGCACACCCGUUGAUCAAGAGCGAAAGUUAAGGGUUCGAAGACGAUCAGAUACCGUCGUAGUCUUAACUAUAAAUGAUACUGGCCAGGGAUAGGGCAAUGUCCAUCUCGACUCCCCCCGGACUUUUGGGAAACCAAAGCCUUUGAGUUCUGGGGGGAGUAUGGUCGCAAGGCUGAAACUUAAAGGAAUUGACGGAAGGGCACACAAAGAGUGGAACCUGCGGCUUAAUUUGACUCAACACGGGGAAACUCACCGGGUCCAGAUACAUGCAUGAAAGACAAGCUGACAGACUUUUCUCAAUUAUGUAAGUGGUGGUGCAUGGCCGUUCUUAGUUCGUGGAGUGGUUUGUCUGGUCUAUUCCGAUAACGAGCGAGACCCCAGCGUUCUAACUAGGGGCCGUAGCCAUCCGUGGUCCGGCUGCUGCCCGCAAGGGUGGUGGCUGAGCCGUGCGAAGCUGCGGCCUCAUUUGCUUUGGCUUCUUAGACGGAUCAGGGCCGAUAAGGUCCUUGAAAUGGGUUAAUAACAGGUCAGUCAUGCCCUUAGAUGUUCCGGGCCGCACGCGCGUUACAAUGGGAGGCAAAGCGAGUGUUCGUUCAGUCUGAGCUUCUCCAUUUCCGACAGGGCAUGGUAAACCCUAGGUCCUCCCUUGACUGGGAUAGACUAUUGCAAUUAUUGGUCUUCAACGAGGAAUUUUUAGUAGUCGCGGGUCAUCAACCCGCGACGAAUGCGUCCCUGCCCUUUGUACACACCGCCCGUCGCUGCUACCGAUUGGGUUCCGCGAUUACGCGUUCAGAGGUCCGGGUAACUGCCUCUUCGGAGUGUGGGACCCCGAGCCGAAGUCCGACUUAUCGCAUGGCCUAGAGGAAGCAGAAGUCGUAACAAGGUAUCGUAGGUGAACCUGC
rnacentral:rRNA from 1 species